GACGAACGCUGGCGGCGUGCUUAACACAUGCCAGUCGAACGGAAAGGCCCUGCUUUUGUGGGGUGCUCGAGUGGCGAACGGGUGAGUAACACGUGAGUAACCUGCCCUUGACUUUGGGAUAACUUCAGGAAACUGGGGCUAAUACCGGAUAGGAGCUCCUGCUGCAUGGUGGGGGUUGGAAAGUUUCGGCGGUUGGGGAUGGACUCGCGGCUUAUCAGCUUGUUGGUGGGGUAGUGGCUUACCAAGGCUUUGACGGGUAGCCGGCCUGAGAGGGUGACCGGCCACAUUGGGACUGAGAUGCGGCACAGACUCCUACGGGAGGCAGCAGUGGGGAAUAUUGCACAAUGGGCGGAAGCCUGAUGCAGCAACGCCGCGUGCGGGAUGACGGCCUUCGGGUUGUAAACCGCUUUCGCCUGUGACGAAGCGUGAGUGACGGUAAUGGGUAAAGAAGCACCGGCUAACUACGUG
rnacentral:rRNA from 1 species